GCCCGGGUGGUGGAAUUGGUAGACACAAGGGACUUAAAAUCCCUCGGCUUUUAGUCGUACGAGUUCGAGUCUCGUCCCGGGUA
rnacentral:tRNA from 1 species